AUUGAACGCUGGCGGCAUGCCUUACACAUGCAAGUCGAACGGUAACAGGUUAAGCUGACGGGUGGCGAACGGGUGAGUAAUGUAUCGGAACGUGCCCAGUCGUGGGGGAUAACUGCUCGAAAGAGCAGCUAAUACCGCAUACGACCUGAGGGUGAAAGCGGGGGAUCGCAAGACCUCGCGCGAUUGGAGCGGCCGAUAUCAGAUUAGGUAGUUGGUGAGGUAAAGGCUCACCAAGCCGACGAUCUGUAGCUGGUCUGAGAGGACGACCAGCCACACUGGGACUGAGACACGGCCCAGACUCCUACGGGAGGCAGCAGUGGGGAAUUUUGGGCAAUGGGCGCAAGCCUGAUCCAGCCAUGCCGCGUGCGGGAAGAAGGCCUUCGGGUUGUAAACCGCUUUUGUCAGGGAAGAAAAGGUUCUGGCUAAUACCUGGGACUCAUGACGGUACCUGAAGAAUAAGCACCGGCUAACUACGUG
rnacentral:rRNA from 1 species